CCUUAGUCAAAGGCAUAAUCCACUCCCCAUAAAUAUCAGCAACUAAACUCGGGUUAAUUUUGUACACGGGCUCUGGUUCAACUUCCGCGGCCCCAUCAUCGACCACUUGCGCGUAAGCCUUUGCUUUUGUUUCAACCCUUCUCUGGACUGCCUCCUCUACAGCCGGAUAUGUCAACAAAUCCAUCAGUUUGUUACUAUCCUGCAUGUCGUUGAAAAACCGUUAGGAGAUCGAAAGAUUAUACAAACUUGAAAGCAUCAUCAUCAUACUCAGUAAAUCCCACCAAUAGCAAACUUAAGCCAUCACCACUUUGGUGGGGUGGUCAGGAGUUUUCCCUAAGGGGUUUAGAGCUGCAGGGUUCGACUCCCACCCAGAGUAGUUUAUUCGAAAUGGGGGGCUGGACCUUAGAGGGGGCCCGGGGAUCGAACCCGGGAGGUGGAGAUAUUUCGUUAAAGGUGUGUUCCGCUGAGCCAUUAAAAAAAUAGCAAAGUUAAGGUAGGGUCUGAGAAGGGUAAAAUGUAGACAGCCUUACCUCUACCCCAUAAGAAUAGAGAGGCUGCUUCCAGACCCCGGCUCGAUAGUAGUUUUGCUUCAAGCCUUGGAAAUAAGGCACAUAACACUCCGCAAAGGCCGAUUAGUUCAUGUACCCCUUGUCAUUCGGCUAUCAACGCCACCACAUGACGCAUGACUAACCGUCCCCCGCUUUUUAACGUUAUUUUCACGAAAUUAGUAAAAUAACGUUAAAAUUAGUGCACUUUCACUUUUGCCCCCCGAUGACCCACACAACAAACUUGAAGGCAUAUCCAAUAUAAAUAUGUUCACAUAUGAAAAAAAAAAAAAAAAAAAAAAAAAAAGAAUCCUUACUUGUGCUCUAAUGGCAGCUUCAUAAUCAUUUGGUGAAGCUCUAAACUUUGCUUCUGCCACAAAUUUACCAUAGUGGAUUCGUUUAGAGAGAACCUGCAAAGUAAAUAUUGCAUUUUCAAGGUCAAAAUCCACGCGCAAUUGCACAAACAUGAAGUUUGGGCUAAUCAACAUGAAAAAAGAUCCGAAUUUACUUGCAAGCAGAUUGUGUCACAUGUUGCUGCUGAUCCACAAUUACCAUCAGUUCCUUUCUUGACCAGUCUAGGUAGAAGAUCUUUAAAGUACAAAUCCCAUAUUUUACUGUUGAUAUUGAUCGAAUCAGCACUAGGAUGCAACACCUAUAUCGUGUACACGUUUAGAAGCAUUUCUAAAGUACCAUUUUUUGUUAUAUAUAACACAAAUGGAGUCUUAAAGAUAUCACAACCUGUGGGUACUCUAAAGGGGGCAACAUAGGUUCAGGCAAGUCGUUUGGGAAAAACGGAUGUUCAUCAGGGCUCUUGUAUCUUCCCAUCUGUUUCAAAAGACAGUCACGAAGAUUAUCUUACAAGUUUACAAUUUUUUUUCUAUUUUAACAACUUUAAAUGGCACUUAAGUUACCUUAGCGUGAAUCUUUUCGGUCUCUUGGACCAUAAAUUCAACUAAUGAACCCUGGAAGCCAUCCAUGAAGAAAGCUUUAGGGUCAUACGAAUCGCCAUUGUAACAAUAUUGAGCUCUUUCGACAAGGCUGAGUAUUAUGCUAUCCUCUUGUCGAAUUAAAGAACUUCUUAUACCGUCAAGAGUAUGCAAUAGAACACGCUACAGAAUGUCGAAUUACCAUCAAACUAUGUGGAUAGAUGUUGAUAACAGAUAAUGCUAUGAACUACCCAGUCUUGAAUCCUUUCUAUUUGCUUCUUCUAAUCUCGAAACGAAAUUUAUAAAUCCAAGUUUUUUAAUAGAAAACUAAAGAUAAAGAAAAAAAAUAAGAUAAAAUAAAAGGGCACUAAUUAAAAAAAAGUUUCAUUAAAGUAGGAGUAAUUUUCUUUUUGUGUUAGGCCUAGACAAAUCAAACAAUUAGAUUGUACACGAACACGAGAUAUUUGGGGGAACAAACCUGCGACUCUUUCUAUUCAAUCAAACGAACUUACGAAAAAAGAGACAAAUAAAAACAACAACCUAGACCCCUAUUUAUACUAAAAUAACCAUACUAAUCCUACUCAUAUACUUCUAUCAAUUAAUAAUUUAAUAUUAACUCAUAUCAUUAUCUCUACUAAUUAAAUCACUCUAUAUAAUUCUAAACAUUCAAAUGAUUAAAUAAAUUCCAAUUAAAUAAAACUUUCACUUUCGUCAACUUUCAACUCAAACGAGUUUUAGGAUUAACUUCCAACAUUUUGAACACUGAGUAAUUGUAAAUUGUUCCUAAGACACUCGGUAUAACUCGUAUUCACAAAUGAAUGUUAAACAAGUCGAUCCCAACACGACACUAUUUUAAGUUGGUCCAACACGAGUAAAUAUUUGGGUGGGGCUAGGGUUGAAUAAUACCCUUCAACCCGCUCGCUAGCCCGACAUGAUUGACACCUUGACUAUUGAGUAGCAAUUAAUUGACAAUUGUCUUUUGGUUCAAAGGCGAUCAACAAACCCAUAAAAAGGGUACAUAAUAAUCAAGAUAUUUCGUAACAUAAUUUACUUUUCAAAAAUAAUUUAUAUCAUGAAAUUUCAAGAUCAAAUUUGAAGGGUACCCGAGGGAGGCAGAAGCCUGAACAGAUUGGACCCGAUUCUUUGAAAACCCAGAAAUGGGUGUCUGAAAGUUGCAAUUUUUCGACAAUGGAGGGGCAAUUUGGACCGGAAACCUCCAAGAGUUUGAACGAAAAAUGGCAGGAGACAGUUGGAAAUUCAAUAGCUUGGCCUCCAUUUUACUAGAAAGAAACUGGGUGAUGUGGAAAGAGAAGCAUAUAAAGUUGUAAACAGAUAAAAUGCAGGGGAAUAUACAAGGAAAAUGUGGCGAAAUUUGAGGUGAAAUUUACCCAAUCAAGAAGAAGAUGGUGGAGGUUUGGUGGGCUUUGGUGUUACGUGUUAGGUAAGGAAGUAAUAAUAUUUUAGGUUUGGACUUUGUUCGUGAUUCAAUUAUUUCCCAUUUAUAAUUGAAACUUCGUUGCUCAUGAUUUGCAACUAGUUUAGGAGCGUAUAUUUGAUUAAAGAGUAAACUUCCGUUUUGCUCCAUCUGGUUUGUCUGUUUUAACAGUUUUGUCUUAAUCCUUUAAAAACAAUCAUUUUUGAUGUUUCGAUUUUAUCGCCAGUUUGCUCAACGGGCUUAACUCCAUCCAUAUUGUAUGUUAGCUGAAAGGGUAUUUCG
rnacentral:lncRNA from 1 species